rnacentral:tRNA from 1 species
CUGUGAAAAGCCAAAUAGAGGCAUUUAACUGUUAAUUAAAAAAUUGUAAUUUUUAUUACUUCACUGG